UGGGGAAUUUUGGACAAUGGGCGAAAGCCUGAUCCAGCAAUGCCGCGUGUGUGAAGAAGGCCUUCGGGUUGUAAAGCACUUUUGUCCGGAAAGAAAUCCUUGGCUCUAAUACAGUCGGGGGAUGACGGUACCGGAAGAAUAAGCACCGGCUAACUACGUGCCAGCAGCCGCGGUAAUACGUAGGGUGCAAGCGUUAAUCGGAAUUACUGGGCGUAAAGCGUGCGCAGGCGGUUUGCUAAGACCGAUGUGAAAUCCCCGGGCUCAACCUGGGAACUGCAUUGGUGACUGGCAGGCUAGAGUAUGGCAGAGGGGGGUAGAAUUCCACGUGUAGCAGUGAAAUGCGUAGAGAUGUGGAGGAAUACCGAUGGCGAAGGCAGCCCCCUGGGCCAAUACUGACGCUCAUGCACGAAAGCGUGGGGGAGCAAAACAGGAUUAGAUACCCCUGGGUAGUCCACGCCCUAAACGAUGUCAACUAGUUGUUGGGGAUUCAUUUCCUUAGUAACGUAGCUAACGCGUGAAGUUGACCGCCUGGGGAGUACGGUCGCAAGAUUAAAACUCAAAGGAAUUGACGGGGUCAUAGCUGUUUCCU
rnacentral:rRNA from 1 species